CUAUGCGCCUUGCCAGCCCGCUCAGUCAGAGUUUGAUCCUGGCUCAGAACGAACGCUGGCGGCAGGCUUAACACAUGCAAGUCGAGCGGGCCCUUCGGGGUCAGCGGCGGACGGGUUAGUAACGCGUGGGAACGUGCCUUUUGCUCUGGAAUAGCCCUGGGAAACUGGGGGUAAUACCGGAUGUGCCCUGAGGGGGAAAGAUUUAUCGGCAAGAGAUCGGCCCGCGUCUGAUUAGGUAGUUGGUGGGGUAAUGGCCCACCAAGCCGACGAUCGGUAGCUGGUUUGAGAGGAUGAUCAGCAACACUGGGACUGAGACACGGCCCAG
rnacentral:rRNA from 1 species